GACGAACGCUGGCGGCGUGCCUAACACAUGCAAGUCGAACGGUGAACCGCGCUUCGGCUCGGGGAUCAGUGGCGAACGGGUGCGUAACACGUGGGCAACCUGCCCCCGACACUGGGAUAACUCCGGGAAACCGGAGCUAAUACCGGAUACUCUCGACCGAUCUCAUGACCGGUCGAGGAAAGGUCCGCCGGUUGGGGAUGGGCCCGCGGCCUAUCAGCUCGUUGGUGAGGUAACGGCUCACCAAGGCGA
rnacentral:rRNA from 1 species